AUGGAUCCUAGUAGCUGCAAAAGGCAGAAGCAUGAUACUGGGCAUGAUAGCUCGCCAGGCACCCAGUCCCCGUCAAGCAUCAUCAGUCAUAACAGAUCUGUGCGUCUUAGGUUUCUCGAACGAUUCGACGAGUUGAAGUAUGGGAGUGCCACUGAAGAUUACAAGGCAAUCGAGAGAAAGAAGCACCAACUUAUCAGCACCCUUGAAAAGCUGCAACAAGUACCUAUCAAGUUGCCCUGUGCCAGCACGGCGCUGGAGACAUCAGAUGCAGGAUUACAUGGUGCUGCACAAAGUGGGAAAAAUAUUAGUUCUGAUAAUAUUGUCGACUUGGAUCAGUAUGAUGUUGGAGAUCAUACCCAUGGUAACAUGGACAAUACUGAGGCUCAGAAAAUGGUCAUUUUACUUGAUUCUGAUGAUGAGGACAUGGUUAAAUCCUUUGGAGAUGGAAAUUUAUCUGGUUCUAAGCAAAAUGCCGAUUUUACCCAAGAUUGCAUGCCGGCUGAGCAGCCUUGCCAAGACCAGGACAUCAUCAUGCCCAAUGAUGAGAAUAUCAAUUCUGAAGCUCAACUUGUAGUUGAUCCAGGAAAGGACAGCAUGGGUAUCAACAAUGAGCCCAAGGAAAUUGCUUUAUCUGAUGGCCAUGAUACUUCAGAGCCACAACAACUGAACAAGCAAGGACAUGAUGACAUAGACAUUUACAAUGAGAGUCGUGAUGAGGAGGAAGAAACAAAGGAAGGAGAAGGUGAAGAUGUCCAAAUAAAAGGAUGCAUGGAGAACAACAGUAUAUCUGAUGUAGAUUCUUAUGAAAUAUCUUGUGAGGUCAUACAAAGUGAAUCCAUGGCAAAGGGAAAUUAUAAUCACAUUGAUACCAUUGACAAUCCAGUUGAUGAGCUGGAUGACCUUUGGAAGGAAAUGUCGGUUGCACUGGCAAUGUCGAAGACCAUUGGAAGUGAUCACAGUAUUGUUCCGUCAGAGAAGAAUAGUUCUGAAGUAGUGGAUGAUUGUCAUCAUGACUUCGUGAUGAAAGAUGAUUUGGGCAUUGUGUGCCGUGUUUGUGGUUUGAUCCAGCAACGCAUUGAGAAUAUUUUUGAGUUACAGUGGAAAAAGCGCAACCGAUCCUACAGAACGUACCCGCAAGAACCCAGAAACUGCAACAAUCUAGAGGCAGCUACUAAUCCUUCAGGAGAUAUUCUUCAAGUUGCCCCUGGUACUCUGUCAAUCCACCCUCAGCAUUCAGAACGGAUGAAACCUCACCAAGUGGAAGGUUUUAAUUUCUUGAUCAAGAACUUAGCAGAUGAGAACAACCCUGGAGGUUGUAUUUUAGCACAUGCACCAGGUUCUGGAAAGACUUUCAUGCUGAUUAGCUUUGUUCAAAGCUUCCUGGCCAGAUACCCGGCAGGAAGGCCAUUGAUUAUCCUUCCAAAGGGCAUUCUGGCAACAUGGAGAACAGAAUUUGUCCGUUGGCAAAUUAAGGACAUGCCCAUUCCACUGUAUGACUUCUACUCCUGCAAAGCUGAUAGCCGGUCUGAACAACUCAAUGUUUUGAACCUGUGGGAAGAAAAGAGAAGCAUAUUGCUGCUAGGGUAUCAGCAAUUUGCAUGCAUAGUGUCGGAUCAGACGUAUAAAGCAGAAGCAGUCAUGUGCCAAGAGAAGUUGCUGAAGGUCCCGAGUCUUGUCAUUCUAGAUGAAGGCCACACUCCGAGAAAUGAGCAAACUGACCUACUCAAUGCACUUGGAAGUAUAAGGACUCAUAGAAAAGUGGUGCUCUCAGGAACCUUGUUUCAGAACCAUGUCAAGGAGGUCUUCAACAUCUUGAACCUUGUCCGGCCAAAAUUCUUGAAACGGAGCGAUCUCGUGCGAUAG
rnacentral:rRNA from 1 species